rnacentral:rRNA from 1 species
UACGAAGGGGGCUAGCGUUGCUCGGAAUUACUGGGCGUAAAGGGUGCGUAGGCGGGUCUUUAAGUCAGGGGUGAAAUCCUGGAGCUCAACUCCAGAACUGCCUUUGAUACUGGAGACCUUGAGUCCGGGAGAGGUGAGUGGAAUUGCGAGUGUAGAGGUGAAAUUCGUAGAUAUUCGCAAGAACACCAGUGGCGAAGGCGGCUCACUGGCCCGGUACUGACGCUGAGGUGCGAAAGCGUGGGGAGCAGACAGG